AACGAACGCUGGCGGCGUGGUUGAUACAUGCAAGUCGAACGGGAACGAUUCCUUCGGGAAUCUAGUACAGUGGCGGACGGGUGAGUAACACGUGAUCAACAUACCUACGGUACCGGGAUAGCCAACCGAAAGGGUGGGUAAUACCGGAUAAGACCACAGCAUCGCAUGGUGCUGCGGUAAAAGGUUUACUCCGACUGUAGAAUGGAUCGCGGCCUAUCAGCUUGUUGGUGAGGUAACGGCUCACCAAGGCGAUGACGGGUAGCCGGCCUGAGAGGGUGGACGGCCACACUGGGACUGAGACACGGCCCAGACUCCUACGGGUGGCAG
rnacentral:rRNA from 1 species